AUGUUAGCUGGAGCUGUGGUUUCCCGAGCUUUGAAAAGCAGCUCUUGAAGGCUGCAUGGCAUGCGUUACGGUGUGGGUGGUUCCACUUUCCUUGCCCUGGAUUCCCACAGGACACUGCUGCUCUUCCCUGUCAAGAUGUUUAGCACUGGACACGAGCCCUGCGUCGGCUGUGGCCUGUUAGCAACUGCAGCAUGAGCUGGGAUAUGUGACAACAGUUCCCAUGGGUCUUCUGCAGCAUCAUGCAAAGCAUAAGCCCUGCCACUUGUCAGUCUGGUGACAGCUUUUCUUGCACAUGCCAGCUGCAUGAAGCCAUGCUACUGUGCUGAUCAUCUUGCUCCUCCUGUCUUGGGUUGGGUGUUUCUGCAUCUAAGCAUUGAACAAAUGGACUAAUCCACAUCUUGGAGGCCAAGAGAUUUUCAACAUCUGCAAGAACCCUGCCCUACCCUAACAGAGGGAGGGUAAUGGACCCCAACAGUUUGAUGCCAUAUGGUUUUGGCUGAUUUAUGGCUUUAAUCAUUUCCUUUUGGCAAGGGAGUAUCCAGCUCUGUGCUUUCCCUACAGGAACUGACUCAUGGAAAUGGAGUUUUCCCCCAGUGUGCUGGGAGAGUGAAUCUCUGUGUGUGAGGAAGCCAAUAAGCUAAUGUGCAGAUUUCUAAAUGUGGGGGAAAACCCAUAUUUGGCCAUUUUAAAUAAAGCUAAUUUUAUGCAUCA